GUAUAGUACCGUGAGGGAAAGGUGAAAAGAACCCCGGGAGGGGAGUGAAAUAGAACCUGAAACCCUGCACUUACAAGCUGUGGAAGCACAUUUCUUGUGUGACCGCGUACUUUUUGUAGAACGGGCCAACGAGUUACGUUAAGUAGCAAGGUUAAGCACUUAAGGUGCGGAGCCGUAGCGAAAGCGAGUUUUAACUGAGCGUUCAGUUACUUGACGUAGACCCGAAACCGGGCGACCUACCCAUGAGCAGGAUGAAGCGAAAGUAAAAUUUCGUGGAGGUCCGAACCCACGAGCGUUGAAAAGCUCGGGGAUGACUUGUGGGUAGCGGUGAAAUUCCAAUCGAGCCCGGAGAUAGCUGGUUCUCCCCGAAAUAGCUUUAGGGCUAGCCUCAAGGUGAGAGAUACGGAGGUAGAGCACUGAAUGUCCUAGGGGGUAUUGCACCUACCGAAGACUAUCAAACUCCGAAUGCCGUCAUCUUAUACUUGGGAGUCAGACUGUGGGUGAUAAGAUUCAUAGUCGAAAGGGCAACAGCCCAGAUCGUCAGCUAAGGUCCCUAAAUGUAAGUUAAGUGGUAAAGGAUGUGGGAUUGCACAGACAACCAGGAUGUUGGCUUAGAAGCAGCCACUCAUUCAAAGAGUGCGUAAUAGCUCACUGGUCGAGUGAUCCUGCGCCGAAGAUUUCCGGGGCUAAAACUUACUACCGAAGCUACGGCAUCAGUAAUGAUGGGUAGGGGAGCUUCCCAUACGGGUUGAAGCAUGACCGUAAGGACAUGUGGACAGUAUGGGAGUGAGAAUGUUGGCAUGAGUAGCGAGAUGUGGGUGAGAAUCCCACAGGCCGUAAACCCAAGGUUUCCAGGGGAAGGUUCGUCCGCCCUGGGUUAGUCGGGACCUAAGCUGAGGCCGAAAGGCGUAGGUGAUGGACAACAGGUUGAUAUUCCUGUACUACCGAUAACCGUUUGAGAGAAGGGAUGACACAGUAGGAUAAGCUAAGCACACUGUUGGUUAUGUGUGCCCAAGCAUUGAGGCAGUCAAAGUAGGCAAAUCCGCUUUGAUAAUGCUGGGAUGUGAUGGGGAGCGAAAUUUAGUAGCGAAGUAGCUGAUUUCACACUGUCAAGAAAAGUCUCUAUCGAGGUUAAAGGUACCCGUACCGCAAACCGACACAGGUGGGUGAGGAGAGUAUCCUAAGGCCAGCGAGAGAACUGUUGUUAAGGAACUCGGCAAAAUGACCCCGUAACUUAGGGAUAAGGGGUGCCACCAUCAGGUGGCCGCAGAGAAUAGGCCCAAGCGACUGUUUACCAAAAACAUAGGUUUCUGCUAAGUCGCAAGACGAUGUAUAGGAGCUGACGCCUGCCCGGUGCUGGAAGGUUAAGGGGAUCUGUUAGAGCAAUCGAAGCAGUGAACUUAAGCCCCAGUAAACGGCGGCCGUAACUAUAACGGUCCUAAGGUAGCGAAAUUCCUUGUCGGGUAAGUUCCGACCCGCACGAAAGGCG
rnacentral:rRNA from 1 species